rnacentral:rRNA from 1 species
UGCCAGCAGCCGCGGUAACACGAACCGGACAAACGUUAUUCGGAAUUACUGGGCUUAAAGGGUGCGUAGGCGGCGUUAUAAGUCGGGUGUGAAAUCCCUCGGCUCAACCGAGGAACUGCGCCCGAUACUGUAACGCUUGAGGAAGGCAGAGGUGAGCGGAACGAAUGGUGGAGCGGUGAAAUGCGUUGAUAUCAUUCGGAACACCGGUGGCGAAAGCGGCUCACUGGGUCUCUUCUGACGCUGAGGCACGAAAGCUAGGGGAGCGAACGGGAUUAGAUA